rnacentral:rRNA from 1 species
UAAUAGCGUAUAUUAAAGUUGUUGCAGUUAAAAAGCUCGUAGUCGGAUGUCGGGCUCGGGCAGGCUGUCGGCUUCGGUCGGACGGCAGGCUCGGGUCUUUCUGCCUGAGGAUCCCGUUGCACUUAAUUGUGGGGCGUGGGGACGCAGGCCGUUUACUUUGAAAAAUCAGAGUGUUUCAAGCAGGCAGCUCGCUCUUGCAUGGAUUAGCAUGGGAUAAUGAAAUAGGACUUUGGUGCUAUUUUGUUGGUUUCGAACACCGAAGUAAUGAUUAAAAGGGACAGUCAGGGGCACUCGUAUUCCGCCGAGAGAGGUGAAAUUCUCAGACCAGCGGAAGACGAACCACUGCGAAAGCAUUUGCCAGGGAUGUUUUCACUGAUCAAGAACGAAAGUUAGGGGAUCGAAGACGAUUAGAUACCAU